GGACUUUUAGCUCAGUUGGUAGAGCAGAUCCCUCUUAAGGAUAAGGUCCUGGGUUCGAGCCCCGGAAGGUCCACCA
rnacentral:tRNA from 1 species